AUUAAAAUGCUCAGGCACAAUGUUGGUAUUCUUUCCUCCAUUCAUAGCCACCCUCCCACUCCACUAUCAUGUUAAUAAAUGAAAACACUGAUAUAUUACCAUACACUAAGAAUUUUACAUACAUUAACUCAUUGAAUCUUCUUAAUAAUGUUAUGAGGUAGAUGUUCUAUUUACCCCAGUUGAGUUAGAUGAAGGACGUGAAGCACCAGCAAGUUAACUGAGCUACCCUAAGUUACAGGGGCUCAUAAGCAGUUAGGAUCAGAACACAGAACAGAGUAGCUUCAUGGCUGUGCACAAUACCCUGCACCGUCCCACCCUGACUCCUAGCCAUGUUUGAUGACAAAAUGUCAAAUCUUGCUCUUUGUGCAUAAUUUGCCUGAAGAUACAGAGAAAUUAUCCUGCCUCCACCCCAUACUCUUCACCCGGUCACAUUUGCCAGCUCAUGGGCCUAGAAAAGCAAUCUUCAGCUCUUUCCGAGUAAAGCAGGCUAAUAGAGCAAGCCUGCAGCCUGAAAAAAUUUGAUUUCACUCUUAAUAACAUACUUAAUUACAUUACAAAUCUAACAUUUUAUUUGACUCUCCCAAAUUGAAGUUCAGAGUCAAUUAGUUAAGUAAUAUGUAAAAAAAAACAAACAAACAAAAAAAAAAACAGGACUUGAGAACUUAGGGGAUGUGAUUCCGAAGUGCCCGAGUGGCAAUGUUUCCUGUGUGUCUGAGGCUCAAAAAUUUCACAUCGAGAGAGGUGCUGGAUUUCAAGUGUUGAGUGACUAUACUUGAAUCACAAGGCAAUUCAUUCCCAGAUCCCAGGUCAUCACAUAUCUCCAGAGAAAUAUAGGAGAUGAAACCAUGGGACGGAUUUACACACUCAAGGGGGCUCAUUUGAGAACUAUCCCAAAUGAGGAUGGGGGAGUAUCCAGGAAUGAUUCCGCAUGAUAUGCGUGCUUUGGCACUAUGAUUUCCUUACCCAAUUCCAAAUCUUGCACAUCAAAACAACAGAAAGACUCAUAAAUGCAGAAAAGCUCAUUAGCUGAAUAGUGGUGGCAGAAAUGAGGACAUAUUUGGCUGGAAAGUGUUUAAAUCCUUGUGAUCUCAGAGCUCAUAAUGUGUACAAACCCAAAGACAUCAUUAACCAUGUACAGAGUUGUGCUUCUGUAGUCCCUUUAACAUUGAACAUGAGAGAACAAGACUCCCUGGAAAUAAACAAAAUCCACCCCUAUGCCCCACACCUAACGUCAGGACAACCAAAAGGCAUGAAUGAAUGUAGAAAGCAAAAGUAUCCCAGAGCUUAACUUCUUGGACCGUGAAUUAUUCUCUAGUGUGUAAGGAAAUUAUAUUCCUGGAGGCAGCCUCUGAGGCAGUUUUAACCUAGAAACUUUUCCAGAAUCUGCCAUAAGCCCCUGCUUUAAGCCAGGGGCUCUAUCUGUUGAGUGUUGCUGCUUCUGCUGCUGUAACAAAUUACCAAAGCUGUAGUAGCUUAAAAUGACACCAAUUUAUUAUCUUAAAGUUAUUAUGGUCUGUAGUUCAAAAUGGGUUGGCAGGAUUGUGUUCCUUCUAGAAAUUCAAGAAGAGAAUCCAAUUCCUUGUCCUUUUCAAUUUCAGGGGGUUUCAUGCAUCCAAUGACUCACAGUCUCUUUCCUCCAUCUCUAAAGACAACAGAGGUUUGAAUUCUUCUGACACUGAAUCACUCUGACCUCUACUUUUCUUUUAACAUUUCUUCUCUGGUCUUAAUCCUGCUGUCUCAAUUUUAUAAAGCCCUUAUGAAUACAUUAGGUCCACUUAUGUAAUACAGGAUAAUCUGUCUAUCUGAAGAUUCUUAAUCACAUCUACAAAGUCCCCUUUUGCCAUGAAAGGUAACUGUGAUGGUUAAUAUUAAGUGUCAACCUGAUUGGAUUGAAGGAUGCAGAGUAUUGUUCCUGGGUAUGUCUGUGAGGGUGUUGCCAAAGGAGAUUAAUAUUUGAGUCAGUGGACUGGGAGAGGCAGACCCACCCCCAAUGUGGGUGGGCACCAUCUGGUCGGCUGCCAGUGCAGCUUGAAAAAGCAGGUGGCUUAAGCUGGCUUUUGCUGAGUCUUCUGGUUUUCAUCUUUCUCCUGUGCUGAAUGCUUCCUGCCCUUGAACAUCAGACUCCAGGUUGUUCAGCCUUUGGAUUCUUGGACUUACACCAGUGGUUUGCCAGGGGCUUUUGUGUCUUUGGCCACAGACUGAAGGCUGCAUUGUCAGCUUCCCUACUUUUGGGGUUUUGGGACUUGGACUGAGCCACUACUGGCUUCCUUGCUCCUCAGCUUACAGACGACCUAACUUGGGACUUCACCUUGUGAUCCUGCAAAAUUCAUCCAGAAAUCAAGAACAAAAGAGCCUGGGUGGCCAGUCUACAGAGGCCAACUUUCAGGAAAAAGAAUCAGGGCAAAGAAGGGCAGCAAGAACUGGAAAGUCGAGUGAAGAAUUCAGCAGCAAAGAGGAGAGGAAAGGGGGACAAUGAGAAUGGGGACAUGAAGGAGGAGUGAAGGGCACUACAACCAAAUCUUGAUAAGUAUUGGCCCUUAGCACAGACUGAACAUAGGUUGAAAAGGAGAAGGUAUUUUUCCUCUUGGGUAUUUAUGAAAUACAAGCAGAUUAAUACACUUGUUUGGAUUGUCAUUUGCUUAUUUAGAUAAAUUACUUCUUUUGUGUAUUAAUAAUAUUCAUAAUAACAACAUAAAAAUAACUUUACAACAUUUUCAUUUUUAGCCUAAAUGUUACUCAUUUCUCAAAAUGGUUUUGUAAUUUAGUAAAAAGACAUGUAAAUUUCAACUUACAGAUCAUCGUGAUUUUACUUACAGUCUCAGUUCUUCAAAUAAAAACUGUAAUUUUCAAAACGAACAA
rnacentral:lncRNA from 10 species